GAGCUCAUGCAGGAUCUGCUGCGGCAGUGGGGGAACACUGCUGAGCUGUGCAGUUUAUGCUGCCAGUGAGAGUGCAAAGAAGAGGAGGGGGAAACAAGCGUGUACCGGAGGAGGAGGAGAAGGAGGAGGAGUGAGGGAGAGAGAGAGAGAGUGCAAACAAUGUCAUUCUGUUCAGGAGGCAAUGCUGCAGUCAACUUUGCCGCGCCAUGAAAGCACAUCACCACUGACCGAGAGGGGCUCACAGUGAGUGAAGAGAAGUUUCCAUCCUCUCGUCCUCCUGCUCGAUGCCAGACUCCUCUGCUCAUGCGCCCGGUUCAGCUGUCGGUGGGACGUUGGAACAUGCCUUGACUUGUCGCGCUGGCUGAGAGAAACACACAGAGAGAGGAGAGUCUCAGACCAGAGGCUGGUGGUCGUUCACCGUGAUGUUCAGACGGCCGCAGACUUCAGCGCUGGAGGUGAGACUGGAUGAAGGAACUUAGCUGGUUGUCCAGCAGUUUCCGAAGCAUCCCACCGAAAAAAGUCUUGGAAGCAGAAGAAAGAUGUACACGGUACCAGACUCACAGGGUCAAAACCUGCCCCAAAGAGCAGCCAGGAUCCGGCUGAGAAGAAGCAGGUGGACGCGGCUGCUGUGGGUGUUUCUCUGGCAGUGUCUUAGCUGGUUGUUGUGAGGAGUGAGAACGAAGCAAUCAGCAAGUAUACUGCCGCAGAAAUUCUUCGCAAUGAGAAGCCCUGGGAUCACAGCCAUCGAGGGUGGAAAAAGGAAAGAGAAAUUUACACUGCAGAGAACACCUGACAACGCUUACAGCUGGAUCAGACUCUGAGCUGAAGUUUCAUGAUCUUCUGCUGCCAUCUUGUGACUGAACACAUCCGCCCAGCAUGCCGUGGCUCAUCAAACACUGCACCAGUUUAGAUAUAUCUUUUUUUCUUUUAUUUAUUUAUUGUUUGUUUAGUUUUAACUGAGUAAAGAAAUUUAGCUCAAAUGGCACAGCUUAAAUUUAUUUAUUUUGUUUUGCUUUUUUAAAUUUAUUUUAGUUGCAAAUGCAUGUUUAGCUGUCACCAAGUAAAGUUUGCAUCAGAAGCUCUUUUUUCUGGAUGGCAACAAAUUAAGUUAUUUUUUCUUUUUUUUCUGCCACUGCUUCUUAAUUAACUAAUGUCAAAUAGAAUUAUUGUAAAAAAGGAGGAAUAAAAUGUACACAAACAGAAA